rnacentral:rRNA from 1 species
GACGAACCGUGCGAACGUUGUUCGGAAUCACUGGGCUUAAAGGGCGCGUAGGCGGGCUAUCAAGUCCGGGGUGAAAUCCUCCAGCUUAACUGGAGAACUGCCUCGGAUACUGAUGGUCUCGAGGAGGAUAGGGGCACACGGAACUGUGGGUGGAGCGGUGAAAUGCGUUGAUAUCCAUAGGAACUCCGGUGGCGAAAGCGGUGUGCUGGAUCCUUUCUGACGCUGAGGC